GAAUAUUUUGAGGCAUGAAAACGUUGAAUAUGUUGUCUUCUUUAGGUUGGAUGUUGUCUUCUUUUUUUUUUCCUUCUUUAAUUAAUAUUUUUAGUAUGAGAGAGCUUUGAUUUAGACAUUAAAAAAAUUAUUUUAUAUUUUAUUAGAGGUCUAUUUUUAUAUGAGAGCUGAGUCUCCAAUUACAUAGGAACGACCAUGAUGUCCACCAGUAGUUUCGAGUCAUUGUCAACUUGAAGAUGGAUAACCUCUUCUCUCCGAGCCCAUUCCAUAUUGAUUUAAUACAUACAUACCUAACAAUAACUUUAUAUAAUUAAAUUUCUCAUUUAUAUAAUUAAAUUUCAAUGAGAAGAGAAAGGGAGCUUAUAUAACGAGGGACGACCCCAAGUAAUGUCUUGUAUGUGUCAUGGCCUGCACUUUGUUUUAAUUUUUUUUUUUUUUUUAAUUUAAUGCUUGAUAGCAUAAGAAGGAGAUCAACAAUGGAUUAGUCCAAGUGGUAAGAAACUUUAGUCUCUUAACACUUAAGUAUGUAGUUAAAAAUUUGAUUCCUCGGUAAUGUGUAUGAAAAAAAUUAGGUUGGAGGAAAAAACUCACCAUGUUUGCCCCACAGGUUUUUCGAUGAAG
rnacentral:lncRNA from 1 species